rnacentral:rRNA from 1 species
GGCCUUGACAUACUAAGAACUUUCCAGAGAUGGAUUGGUGCCUUCGGGAACUUAGAUACAGGUGCUGCAUGGCUGUCGUCAGCUCGUGUCGUGAGAUGUUGGGUUAAGUCCGCAACGAGCGCAACCCUUUUCCUUAUUUGCCAGCGGGUAAUGCCGGGAACUUUAAGGAUACUGCCAGUGACAAACUGGAGGAAGGCGGGGACGACGUCAAGUCAUCAUGGCCCUUACGGCCAGGGCUACACACGUGCUACAAUGGUCGGUACAAAGGGUUGCUACCUCGCGAGAGGAUGCUAAUCUCAAAAAGCCGAUCGUAGUCCGGAUCGCAGUCUGCAACUCGACUGCGUGAAGUCGGAAUCGCUAGUAAUCGCGGAUCAGAAUGCCGCGGUGAAUACGUUCCCGGGCCUUGUACACACCGCCCGUCACACCAUGGGAGUUUGUUGCACCAGAAGUAGGUAGUCUAACCGCAAGGAGGACGCUUACUACGGUGUGGCCGAUGACUGGGGUGAAGUCGUAACAAGGUAGGCGUAGAUGA